rnacentral:lncRNA from 1 species
AUAUAUACAUGGGCUACAUGUAUAUACAAAUGUAUAUGAUCCUGGCUCAACAGUUUAAAAAAACCUCAUCAAAUAUACCAGACUUAUGAUAUGUUACCAGAGCGCAAUUAUUUGAAAUGGAUUUUCCAUAGAGUACUAGUUGUGUUCCAUAUUUAUCUCUUGAAGACUACACAAUCUAGAAAAUAUAGGUAGCAGUUUCAGUUAAUAGAAAUGUCUGCGUUAUCUUCCAGCCAGAAAGUAGUAAAAGUCAUGCGGCAAAUGUUAACCUAAAAUAAAAUUGAAAAUGGAAAU